CCAACUUGCGGCACCGCGUUGCGUGGCACAGAAUCAGUCGUCAGUUUGUCUUAAGCGGAUUUGGUCGACACGUGAGUGUGUGUGUAUGUGUGUGAGUCUAUGUGUACACUCGUCUCUCGUCAGUGACUUGUUCUUCCUUACGUACGUAUACGUAAUCGGAAUCGCUUACUCCAGCCAGGAGAAGUCGCUUUGGCAGCUUCAAAGCAAAGUUUUGGCCGCUUUGGCAUAGGUCACGUAUCGCACGUGCUGCUGCCCCAACUCACGACACAACAACAGACUCACGCCACUCACGAGCCGUUCUAUGCGUGUGUGUGUGCAUGUGUGUGUGAGUGCGGUUGACAUUCGAUUUACUUUCGUUGGCCAACAGAAAAAAAAGGCAUAGCAUACUUUUUGGCAGCUUCUCAAGCAGUGAGUGUGUGUGUUUGUUUGUGUGUGUGACUCGGUCGAUAUUUGCAUAAAUUAAAAACAAAAAAAUAUACUCAUACACUCACUCACAUUCACACGGCCACACUCACGAGUGUGUUUGGAGCUGGCUUUGGUCGCUUAAUGAGUUUUUAAUACGCUGCCACAUUUCCGCUUCCUCUGCUCUGUGCGUGCGUGUGUGUGUGUUUCGGUGUGUGCGGAGAACUAAAAGUCAUUGUCACUGGAUUUGUGCCUGACGCUUCUGCUAAUUUAUUGAGCCUGGUGGCUGGCCGAAUGAAAAGACUUUUGCAAACGUGGCUUCAAAAGUGCGACAAAACUAAUUCGAAGUGAAGUCCCGAACGUGAAUUCACCACAAAAACUUUUAUUUCUACUCCGAUUUACUCGUCAAAACAACUCGCAGGUGCUUUCUGGGAAUCGUUUAAGCCAAUCUCUAACGACACCCAAGAGUGCGUGUAUGCCAGGG